UACGUAGGCAGCAAGCGUUGUUCGGAGUUACUGGGCGUAAAGGGUGCGUAGGCGGCGCGGUAAGUCGGGUGUGAAAUCUUGGAGCUUAACUCCGAAACUGCAUUCGAUACUGCCGUGCUUGAGGACUGGAGAGGAGACUGGAAUUUACGGUGUAGCGGUGAAAUGCGUAGAUAUCAGGAGGAACACCAGUGGCGAAGGCAGAUCUCUGGGCAGUAACUGACGCUGAGGAGCGAAAGCCUGGGGAGCGAACAGG
rnacentral:rRNA from 1 species